rnacentral:rRNA from 1 species
AACGAACGCUGGCGGCAGGCUUAACACAUGCAAGUCGAACGCACCGCAAGGGGAGUGGCAGACGAGGGAGUAACGCGUGCUGAUCUACCCAACCCUGCGGAAUAGCUGUGGGAAACUGGAAUUAACACCGCAUACCCGCUACGGGCGAAAGAUUUAUCGGGGAUGGAUGAGCCCGCGUUGGAUUAGGUAGUUGGUGGGGUAAAGGCCUACCAAGGCGACGAUCCAUAGCUGGUCUGAGAGGAUGACCAGCCACAUUGGGACUGAGACACGGCCCAAACUCCUACGGGAGGCAGCAGUGGGGAAUAUUGGACAAUGGGCGAAAGCCUGAUCCAGCCAUGCCGCGUGAGUGAUGAAGGCUUUAGGGUUGUAAAGCUCUUUCACCGGUGAAGAUAAUGACGGUAACCGGAGAAGAAGCCCCGGCUAACUUCGUGCCAGCCGCCGCCGUAAGAC